rnacentral:rRNA from 1 species
UAUAGCUGAAAUCUAUAUGGCCCUAGGACGGGACUGCGGCCGAUCAGGUUGUUGGUGGGGUAAUGGCCCACCAAGCCUAUAACGGGUACGGGCCCUGAGAGGGGGAGCCCGGAGAUGGGUACUGAGACAAGGACCCAGGCCCUACGGNNNNNAGCAGGCGCGAAACCUCCGCAAUGCGCGAAAGCGCGACGGGGCCACCCCGAGUGCCAUCCGCUGAGGGUGGCUUUUCCCUAGUGUAGUAAGCUAGGGGAAUAAGCGGGGGGCAAGUCUGGUGUCAGCCGCCGCGGUAAUACCAGCUCCGCGAGUGGUCGGGACGAUUAUUGGGCCUAAAGCGUCCGUAGCCGGCCUAACAAGUCUCUGGUUAAAUCUCAAGGCUUAACCUUGAGAUCGCUGGAGAUACUGUUAGGCUAGGGGGCGGGAG